UGGAAUAACCCCUUAAUCCCCAUAUUAUCCUCAAACAUUCUAAAAAAUGGGUGGGGUUAGCUAACCCCAUCUCAAAUAAAUUAUCCCGGAUUAGCUAAUCCCAUCUAACCCCACCAAACUCCAACCAAAUAUUAUUUUCUAUUCAUAAUAACCCACUAUCUUUCUUAUCCCACCUACUCCAACCAAUCAUUAUCCUUCUUUAUCAAUCAUUAUCUUCUUAUCCUACUUACUCCAACCAAACACUAUUUUUCAUUAUUCUAGACUAACUCCAACCCCCAACCAAACACAAAAAAACUUAACCCCACUUUAACCCUGAACUUAACACUAUCUCUGGAAUAGCUACUUUUUCCUUAACCCCGAACCAAACGGAGGCUUAGAUGUUGUCCUUCACCUUUACACA
rnacentral:lncRNA from 1 species